rnacentral:lncRNA from 1 species
ACACAGCACCCAGCCUCCCUCCCGUGUCCCUGCCCCUGGGUGUGGAUCUGAGGCCCGGCAGGAGCCCUCCCCCAGGAACUCCUGGCCUACCAGCCGCCUCCCUCUCCCACCUCUGUGGUUUGGGGGUCCUUUGCCCCCUCUCCUGGAGAGGAAGCUGCUAGGUUUUCUUGGAAGCAGGAAGGAGAGUCUCUCUCUUUCUCUCUCUCCAGGCUGACAUGGUUGGGCAUGAGGGGAGUUUCUCAGGAAGCUGCUUCCAUCCCUGCCACUGCUGGUGAAGCCUUGGGGGACCUGGGCAUCACCAAGACCCUGGGUGACCUCUUUAUAGCAGGCCCCCACCCCAGCAGGAGCAGAGGCUGCUGAGCUAGGCCUCCUAGGGGAAGUGGCAAAAGCAAAGAGGGAGGGAAGUGGGGGUGAUGUUUGGAGAGAGGAAGUGCCAGGAUCUCUGUGGGGCAGAGACAGACUGGGGUGUCCAGUGCCCCCACAGAACCUUGGCAAGGUCCAGGGGGCAAGCGUGUGACUGGCCUAUAGGGUGCAUGUGAGAGUGUGUGCUGGUCCAACCCUGACACCCAGGCCUGAGAGACAGGAGUAGCCCUCUGCCCGCUUCUGUGCCCAGCCCUGGAUGCAAAGGUCUAUGUAGGGCUUAUCUGUGUAGAGUUCUGUUCCACUCUGUGUGUGUGUGAGCUCUAUAGGAUGGGUUGCACAUGGUCUAGAUGUAUGUACGUGUAGGUUGUUUCAAAGUUCCUAUGGCUAACUUGUGUCGGUGUGUAUGUGUGUUUGUGUGUGUGGUCUGUGGCUGGUCUGUAUGUGUGUAUAUGAUCUGUUUGUGUGUGUGUAAAAGAGGUCUGUGGCUGGUCUGUGUGUAUACGAUCUGUAAUGUGCAUUUGUGUGUGUGUGAAAAAGAGGUCUGUGGCUGGUCUGUAUGUAUGUGUGUAUACGAUCUGGUGUGUGUGUGUGUGUGUGAAAAAGAGGUCUGUGGCUGGUUUGUGUUUGGUGUGUGUGUGUGGUCUCUGUGUGUGAGGUCUGUGGCUUGUUUCCAUGUGUGUGUUCUGUGGCUGAUCUGUAUGUUGCCUGUUACUGAUCUCCGUUUGUAUGUGUGCAUGUGUGUGUGUGCAAACAGGUUUUGUCAUGGUCUUUCUGUGCCGAUGUGUUUAUGAAUGUCCCACUGUGGCCUGUCUGUGCCUCUCUGCACUGGGUGUGACUGUCUGGCCAGACCAUGUCUGUGAAUGUGUCAGUCUGCCCAGAUCUACCCAAUCUGUUGCCAGGUCCCACAUGUGUGUGUUCCUGGUGAGAUGGUGUGUACCUCUAAGGCUUCGGCUUGGUGUCCCUGGGAGCAUCUCUGAUGUGUGUGCAACAGUGGUGGGCCAGGGUGCCAGGGACUCUCUGCCAUACUGUGAACACAUCAUCUCUGUCCCUAGGUUUGUCUCUCUUGUCUUGUCUCUAUCUUCUGAGUUGGAGAUCUGGGGUGUGUGUGUCCUAUUGUGUUUGUCUCCAUGUGUGUCACACGCCAUUGUGUCUGCCUUGCUGUGUGCCUCUCACCUGAAUG